GAUGAAGAACGCAGCGAAAUGCGACAAGUAAUGUGAAUUGCAGAAUUCCGUGAAUCAUCGAGUCUUUGAACGCACAUUGCGCCCUCUGGUAUUCCGGAGGGCAUGCCUGUCCGAGCGUCAUUGCUGCCCUCAAGCACGGCUUGUGUGUUGGGCUCCGUCCCCCGAUCCCGGGGGACGGGCCCGAAAGGCAGCGGCGGCACCGCGUCCGGUCCUCGAGCGUAUGGGGCUUUGUCACCCGCUCUGUAGGCCCGGCCGGCGCUUGCCGAUCAACCAAAUUUUUAUCCAGGUUGACCUCGGAUCAGGUAGGGAUACCCGCUGAACUUAAGCAUAUCAAUAAGCGGAGGA
rnacentral:misc_RNA from 1 species